rnacentral:lncRNA from 1 species
GUUGUCGUUUGUUUAUGUGUUACAUAUUUGUUUUUCGUUCAUUUCUUUUACAUAAAUAAGGCCGUUAGUUUUCUCGUUUGAAUUUUUUUACCUUGUCUUAUCGGGGCCUUUUAUAGCUGACUAUGCGGUAUGGGCUUUGCUCAUUGUUAAGGCCGUACGGUGACCUAUAGUUGUUAAUGUCUGUGUCAUUUUGGUCUUUUGUGGACAGUUGUCU